UAUUAUUCUGAGCCGCCGAUGAAUGGAGCCACCGCUAUUAGGUUCGUCUCCUCCCCAAGUCUGCUGCGAGCGCUUCGUCCGGGUAUCUCGCGCCACCAGUGGCUGCCCUGGAUUCUUGCUCCAUAAACUGUUAUUCCCCCUGUGUAUAUAUGGCAAACUCUGGUGCGCCUCGCUCAUCUCAUCAGCUUGACCAAUAGCCAUGGCGAGAUCCCGAGAGUCGAGGAAGGCAGAGAGCGCCACCGGGGAUCGCCGUCGAUGAUCUACGCGUACACCGCCGCCUGGGUCCCGUCGUAUGACUUCGGGGAUUCACACCGGUGCAUCGUGUGCGCCCGUGGCAUCGUUUUGCGAGGAAAAGUAGUGGAUCGCGGGGAGUUGCUCACCGAACUUCAAGAAGCACCACGGAAGCGCGCUACACCGUGGCCGGGGACUUCUGUGCCAGCAACCACGAAAAUGGUAGUGUUGGGGAUCUUCUUCCCCGCCGAAGGUCAUCAAGGCAAAAACACCUUCAGCAAGAUAAUACAAAGGCAUACGCGACAUGACGAUGCGAAAGAAAGCCGAAGCUAUGGCUGAAGAAGCUUCAGCUUAGUAUUAUGACGAAGCUGAAGGUCGUCACCGACUCAAGGGAAAAAUAAUGUUUAGUCCUUGAUCACUCGCAUUAUGAUUGCAUGUAAAUGUCAGGGAUAUAAAUGUAAUUGUGUCUGAGCCGCGUCCCACACCUAUAAAUAGAUGAACAGUACCCUCGUACUGUUCACGCUGGAUUGUAAUCUCUCUCGCGUCAUCUUUGCAUUAUCACCUUCUGGCGAACCAAAGGUAUUCUUGUA